AAAAGUAAAAUGUAACUAUAAACUUGUUUGAUAAAUUAUCACAUUAAUUUCCUGAUCUCGGCCAGCAGUGAGUUUAAAACCAGGAUGAUUCAUUUAUGGACCAGUUUGAAGAAAUUUAUAGUUAGUACUGAUUAAAUACAACACAGAGUUAGGGUUUUCUACUUUAUAAUACCUUUAUAAUGUUUUAUAUUUAUUA